rnacentral:rRNA from 1 species
CAAAUUUGAAAGCCGUUGCCUUUGGUAACCGCAUUGUAAUCUCGAGAUCUGUUUUCCGCGCUGGACCAUGUACAAGUCCCUUGGAAUAGGGCGUCAUAGAGGGUGAGAAUCCCGUACUUGACAUGGCCUCCCAGUGCUUUGUGAUACAGGCUCAACGAGUCGAGUUGUUUGGGAAUGCAGCUCAAAAUGGGUGGUAAAUUCCAUCUAAAGCUAAAUAUUGGGGAGAGACCGAUAGCGAACAAGUACCGUGAGGGAAAGAUGAAAAGCACUUUGGAAAGAGAGUUAAACAGUACGUGAAAUUGUCAAAAGGGAACCGUUUAAAGUUAGUCAUGCUUGCCUGGACUCAGCCUUGCUUUUGCUUGGUGCAUUUCCAGGUUAGCAGGUCAGCAUCGGUUUUGACUGCUGGAUAAGGGUGAGAGGAAUGUGGCACCCUCGGGUGUGUUAUAGCCUUUCACUGGAUGCAGC